CCAUACAGCUAAAUAUAACUACCAUAGCUAGGUGGUAGGUGGUUAGAGAGGAGUCAUACCAUACAGCUAAAUAUAACUACCAUAGCUAGGUGGUAGGUGGUUAGAGAGGGGGCAUACCAUACAGCUAAAUACAACUACCAUAGCUAGGUGGUAGGUGAUUAGAGAGGAGACAUACCAUACAGCUAAAUAUAACUACCAUAGCUAGGUGGUUAGAGAGGAGACAUACCAUACAGCUAAAUAUAACUACCAUAGCUAGGUGGUUAGAGAGGAGACAUACCAUACAGCUAAAUAUAACUACCAUAGCUAGGUGGUUAGAGAGGAGACAUACCAUACAGCUAAAUAUAACUACCAUAGCUAGGUGGUUAGAGAGGAGACAUACCAUACAGCUAAAUAUAACUACCAUAGCUAGGUGGUUAGAGAGGAGUCAUACCAUACAGCUAAAUAUAACUACCAUAGCUAGGUGGUUAGAGAGGAGACAUACCAUACAGCUAAAUAUAACUACCAUAGCUAGGUGGUUAGAGAGGAGUCAUACCAUACAGCUAAAUAUAACUACCAUAGCUAGGUGGUUAGAGAGGAGACAUACCAUACAGCUAAAUAUAACUACCAUAGCUAGGUGGUUAGAGAGGAGUCAUACCAUACAGCUAAA